rnacentral:rRNA from 1 species
AAUCAACGCUGGCGGCGUGCCUAACACAUGCAAGUCGAACGCGAAAGGGGAGCAAUCCCUGAUCGAGUGGCAAACGGGUGAGUAACACGUGGGUGACCUACCUUCGAGUGGGGGAUAACGUCCCGAAAGGGACGCUAAUACCGCAUGACAUCCUGCUUUUGGAAAAGCGGACAUUAAAGCUGGGGAUCGCAAGACCUGGCGCUUGAAGAGGGGCCCGCGCCUGAUUAGCUAGUUGGUGAGGUAACGGCUCACCAAGGCUACGAUCAGUAUCCGGCCUGAGAGGGCGGACGGACACACUGGGACUGAAACACGGCCCAGACUCCUACGGGAGGCAGCAGUGGGGAAUUGUUCGCAAUGGGCGAAAGCCUGACGACGCAACGCCGCGUGGGAGGACGAAGAUCUUCGGGUCGUAAACUCCUGU